GCAGGAUCCACUUUGGCUUUAAUACUUCUAGAUGGAAACAAGAGAAUUUUGUUCUUGGCUGUUCCCAGAAUUAGCUUAUUUUGGGAUAAGGACCCACCUUGUCAAAGGUAUCUAACAAUUCAGGCAUGCAUAUAACUGGAUUUUAAAAAAUGUGGAGGCAGCAAUGGGAGCUGGGUACUCACGUUCUUUAUGUAUUUGACUCCAAGCUGCAAGUUGCAGGCCCAGGACCAGACCAUGGCACACUCCCAUCCCCUCUCUCUGCAGCCAUUCAGCCAGAGUUGUCUGCAGCUUUCAACAAGCCAUUGACCAAGGCCCAGGAAGCACACACACACAGUCUGCACCACGCGUGGUCCCACAGCCUGCUGGAGGCUCCUCACAGCCGUGGACGAGGGGAGUUCUGCACCACCUGCCCUCUCUCUCUGAAACUGACCUUGGAAUUAUUUUUCUGAUUCCUGAGCUAUUGGCUGUUUCUUCUCCUUUGUGCAGUCUUUUGGGGGAAACCUCCUGGGCCUUUUCUUUGUUAUCAUAGAAUGUUUUGUGUUGGAAGGGACUCUUAGAGAUCAUCUAGUCACACCUGCUGCCACGGGCAGGGACACCUCCCACUAGACCAGGUUGCUCACAGCCCCAUCCAGCCUGGCCUUGAGCACUGCCAGGGAUGGGGCAGCCACAGCUGCUCUGGGCAACCUGUGCCAGUGCCUCACCGCCCUCACAGUAAAUUUCUUCCUCAUAUCUCAUCUACAUCUACCCUCUUUCAGUUUAAAAUCAUUACCUCAUCUUAUCACUGUACUUCCCGAUAAAGAGUUGUUCCCAUCUUUCCUCUAGGUCUCCUUUUAAUUAUUGAAAGGCCACAAUAAGGUCUCUCUGGAGCUUUCUCUUCUCUAGGCUGAAUUACCCCAACUCUUUCAGCUUGUCCUCGUAUGCAAGGUGCUCCAGCCCUCUGAUCAUCUUUGUGGCCUUUCUCUGGACUUGUUCCAACAGGUCCACGUCUGGUCUGUCUUGUGCUGGGACCCCCUGAGCUGGAUGCAGUACUCCAGGUGGGGUCUCAUGAGAGUGGAGUAGAGGGAGAAAAUCACCUCCUUUGACCUUCUGGUCAUGCUUCUUUUGAUGCAGCCUAGGGUAUGGUUGGCUUUCUGGGCUGCAAGCGCGCACUGGCAGGUUAUAUUCAGUUUUUCAUCCAUCAAGAUCCUCAAGUCUUUCUUUUCAGGGCUGCUCUCAAUCCUGCUCAAUCACAAUCAUCACCCAAGCUCUAGCCAGAUACAAGUUGGAUGUUUUGAUUAUUUUUCAGAAACAUCCCUAAAGCACAAAUCUACGUAGAUUUCCUAUCUGUUUCUCAUUUCCAUUGGGAAUCAGUUGCAUAUUUAUCGGAAGCUGCACAGCAUCAGCAAGGGAAAGAAAUAUAUUCCAUUUCCUUUGAAAUUCUGUCUACUGCAGCAUGGUUUGACCACUUAAAUCAGUUCACAAUUCAGUAUAUUAUGAAGUGUUUUCUAAAACAAUAAAAUCCUUAAAUGUCAUCCCUACUCUGCAAGGAAGUUUGCAGAGGUGCUAGAGUUUUAAAGUACCCAGAUGAUUGUUGACUAUAUUUUGAUGAUAUUCUUGCAUCAGCCAUGCCAUAUUAAAAUAUGUAGGAUGGAAGUCAACAGGAAAAUUUGGCUACAUGGAUAGGAACAGAAAAGUGGUUUAACGGGCCUGUCAAGCUGGCUUUAUGGUUUAUUUCAGUCCCUGCAGUACAGUGGCACAGUUAGCCUACUAUAUGCAAGAAUGCAGUGUGUGUGUAAAGUGUUCAAAUUUCCAAUUGUUUUGAAUUAUUAUUUUAUUUUAGCAGCCGUGGUGGAGUUCUACAAGAAUCACAGGACCUUAACAUUAGAUAUUUAAGAUCAUUAAGUAUUUUUUUAUACUUUGUUUUGUUAUAAAAGCCUAGUGCACAUUGAUAUUCCACAUGAAAAAAAGUGCAAGAGUAAUAAACCACUUUUGGUAUGGUUUUGGUAUGUUUUUUUGGUUGGUUGGGGGUUUUUUUGUUUUUUUUUUUUUGUUUUUUCUUGUUGCA